rnacentral:lncRNA from 12 species
ACUGACCUGGCCUUGACAUUCUGUGAAUGCUUUGUCUGCCACUGAAGGGCGACAUGCUAACUUUCACUAAAUUGUACUUUCUUCUCUUAAUGUUAUAAGAGUUAACAAAGAUACUAAUCACUUUCCAUGGCAACUGCCAUUGUCAUUCCAACAGAUAGUUGUUUUUUGGCCCUAAAAAUCUCAUGAAAAUGAAGUAAAAUAUUAGUGAAAUGGCCCAUGCCCAUGUACAUUUUGGGGAUUAUAAUUACACAGGUCAUUUAUAUCUUUAGCUAUUCUCUCCUUGUACUCUUUUUUUCCUUGAAUCACCCAGAUGAAACAGUGACUUACAUUCAUCUUAAAUGAGACCUUUUAUAUCUCAUCCACUAAACACCCUGGUUGAAACACCCCCAUUGUCAACAGCCAUUCCAGCUCUGGGCAGUUGCUCCAGACCUUUGGUUUACUUUCCUGCUUUACCCUUCUUGAUCUGUAGGAAAAAAAGAAAAAGUACUAUUUCUAUUCUCUGUAAUUUAGAAACUUCAUGGCCCGGACUCUCUUUUUUAAUCUUUUAGUCUUGGAUUUGCUUUUCUUCUCCCUCCAGUAUGCCUUCUACCCUGGUGUGUCCUGGGUUCUCAGAUCUCCCCACUUCAAUCCUGGCCUUAUGGAAACUGCCUGUUGCCUGCAAUUCCCUGCUUUGGCAGAGCUCUGGUGCUACUCAGAUUUCAUUCUUCUGAGGCUGGCAGUUUGGGCUACUCCUUCUGGUCUCAAUGAUGAAAAGUGAACUGAGUUUGCCGCAUUGCAGUGUGGGGAGAGGUAAGAGCUAAGUUUUCUUCCAAACUAUAUUCUCACUGCUUCUUGGCCAUUCACAGCAUGACAUUUGAACCCUCUUCUUCCCACCACCCCUCAAACUCCCAUAUUUUAACUACUUUAUGGUAACUUCAUGGCCAAAUUCAGAUUCCCUAGGGAUAUUACCUUUUUGUUGUUGUCGUUCAUUGUUAUGUCCUAUGAUACUCUCUGGUUUCUAUAAUUCUCUUAAGUUUGAUUUUGAAGAAGGAAUCGGCAGCCCACACUAAUUUUCAAUCUUAGAAUCUGUGAAGUGAAGGGUUAACUCAGCAGGCUUGAGUUCUUUAAACCCUGCACCUGCAAAUAAAGGUCUGUCUUCAGCAGGACUAGCCCUUGAC